GAGGGCUGCUGGUGACAAGUUUUCACUUGAUCAGCUGCUCAUCCCACACGGUUGCGCCGCGCUCUAGAGGUCAGCUUCGGUGUUUGGCGGCAACUUUUGGCUGCAAUUUCAAACCCAUACGACGGGAAAAGCUUUGAAUUCACAUAUCCUCGGCAUGAUUAGAGAAAAUAAGCGGGUUUUUUUGUUUUUGUUGUUUUCUGGUUUGUUUUUAGCUAAAUGUUUUUUAUUUGUCGAUCCCGGCUGUAUUUCUAAGCGAUAGGAACCUCACACACAAAGCCAGCGCGUUUCAGUCUGCAGAUGCAGCCUCAGGCUGCUGAGCUGGAGGAGGGAUCUGACUGGUGCACAUUUUGGACGCAUGUGAAACGGCGCAGUCCAUGAUGAUGAAGAUGAUGAUGCUGGCUGCAGCUCUGCAGACAAUCGCGGCAGCUGAAUGAGCCGUGAGGCGCUGUCCAGGGUGCUGAGGAGUCGCCGUGUUUUCCCCUCCUCCUCCCCACCGCUCCCCUUUCCCGCCCGUCCAGACUGCACGCGUGAACAGACGUGGAUGCCUAGCAGCGUAACACGGCCCGGGUAAAUAAAUGGGACCGCACGUCGUCCGAGCGUUUGAGAUAUCAUGGAGAGAAUUUUCCUGCUCGUCCUCAGCGGCUGCCUCGGUGUCUCUCGAGUCACGGCGGAUAGCCUGUCGCCUCCCGUCAAUGUGACCAUUAAAGAGGUGAAAGCAAACUUUGCUGUGGUGUCAUGGGACAUCCCCGAGGGAGACCCCGUCAUUGGCUUUGCCAUCACACAGCAGAAGAAAGAUGUGCGCAUGCUGCGGUUUAUCCAGGAAGUCAAUACCACCACGCACUCCUGUGCAUUAUGGGACUUGGAGGAGGAGACAGACUACAUUGUGCACGUCCAGUCCGUCAGUAUGUCCGGGACGAGCCCGCUGAGCGAACCGCUGCGCUUCCGAACCCCAAAGGAGGCAGAGACACAAGCCUCUAAGAACGAAGUGACCAUGGAGGAGGUGGGUCAGGCGACUCAGAUGAGGGCUGGAGAGCUCAUCAUCAUUGUGGUCGUACUCAUCAUGUGGGCAGGUGUGAUUGCCCUCUUCUGUCGUCAAUAUGACAUAAUCAAAGACAAUGAGCCCAACAACAACAAGGACAAAGCCAAAACCUCCUCGGAGUGCAGCACUCCUGAACACCCGACGGGGGGGCUGCUGCGCAGUAAGGUAUAACCCACCCCUCUGCUCCUUCUCCUCUCCCAGGGUGCCUCCCCUCUCAGCGACGCUGGCCAGUUCCCCAAGAACGACAACAACAGGUUGCCAUCUGUCAACAUCAUUGAGGUGUGACUGCCGUUAAGUCUUUUUCUUUACUCAGAAGACUUCAUGCAAACAACGAGCCCCUUCUAGGUCUAUCAGCUGUCAAGAUGACGCUGGGACAGAGGGACUCUAGGCGUGCAGGCGCCGCUUUCUCUUCUUCAACACCGGUUCUGGUGUGGAGGGUGAAGCUGCAGGGACUCCAGAGGACGUGGCGGAAUGAGGCUGAGUUUGGCCUCAUUUUCUAGGAGAGCAGGAAGACUGCAGGAAGAGUUCAGCAGCAGGUCUGUGCUCAGUGACAGUACACUGGGGUCACGGUUAUCAGUGUUGUGGAGAGACUGCAGAUGAACCAACCCCAGGGACCAAGGCUGAUCAAACAGAGCCAGAAACCGUCACCAGAAGAAUUUGUACUUAACUUUUCUGGGUGGUACUUUAAGCUUCUUUUAACGCUUAUUUCUUCAUGUGCUUACCCAAUAUGUUUGAUGUUUUGGUAUCUGUUUGGGCUUUUUCAGUAAAUCUACAAGUGCAGAGACUCUUUGCUGUUCUGGUACAUUUGUAUUCCCCCCUCAGGGAAUCCAGACUUUCCCCGGGUAACAAAAGAGCCAUUUCCAGUACAGGCUGCAAUGUCACCAGAGCAGCUUUAGAGGGAUCAGUCGACUAAAAUCACUCACUGUCAUUAACUCAUACAUAUGGCAUAGUUCUUCAAGUCUGGCCUGUAAUUUCUCUCGUCUUUUUUAUUAUAGACUUCUAAAAUGUAACAUUCCUCUCCCUCAACGAGCCCUUUAGUACCUCCUGGUGUCUUUCUUUUUGAGCGUGAUGGAUUUCACGUCAUUUUUGUGAGCAGCAGAACUCCCCUAAUGGAGUUCAUUCAUCUAAUUAAUUAACUAUAAAUGGGGCUGGACUCUACAGACGUCUGAGCAGAAGAGAUCCCUUCAAUCAGCAAUAACAGCCCCUCAGAGGAAACGGAGGAAGUCAGAACUUGAACUCUGGAUCCUCUGACAAAGGAAAACUGUCAGCAUGUCGUAACAAACUGGAUGUUCAAAUAUGCUGGAAUAAACCUUGGGUAUCAUUUUUAAGUGAUCCUCAAAAACGCCUUUUCAGCCCUAUUAAAAAUAAAUAAAUAAAUAAAAAUAUUUCUCUUGGCAAGCAUGGAAAUUUUUUUUUCUUUUUUUUUUUAAAUCGGGCCCAACUGGGGAACCCUGAGACUUCUUUACGGCAUCCUGAACAGUUGUCGAGACAGAAGGGCUUCUUUCAAGACUUUUUGAAUUAUUAUUACUACGAACAUGUGUCUAAAGUCCAUGGUAAUGAGAAUAGCUAUUGUGGUAAGCGCAUACAUGAUGUAUUUGAGGGCUGAUUUACACUCAGUAGUACUGCCUUAACAAUAAUUGUAUCCCAUAACUUAUAAGAUGUUUGGCUUUGUAUCUCACUUUUGUGGCAUUAUAUUUACCUUUCACCCAGUAUUUAAAUGUUUGUGCAAAGUUAAGGGAAACAUAACAUGUGGUUUGGAGAAAUUGACAAGUAUCUAAUAUGUAAAUAUAUUUUAAAUUACUUAUUUAGUACAGUCAGUCUAGAGAGGCUUUGUGGAAAAAGGCUGAUGUAAAUGUCUUGAUUUGUAGGGAAGCUAGAUCACAUUUAUGUCAAAACUGUUCAGUUUUAUGAAAAGCAUUUUUCAAAAAAAGAAGAAAAAAAAAAGACUUCAACUACUAUUUUGAAUUUUUAUUUAUUUUAUUUUUUAUUUGAUUUUUAUUUAUGUCAUUAUGCCUUUUAUGUUCCAAAGGAGGAGUUGGUAGGAGCGAGUACUGAAAAAGAAAAAGCUCUGGCAUGUAUAAA